CUUAGCAAGGGGGUCAACUCCGCCAUUUCUCUUAGCUUAAAGCUUCUCCCCGUUCCUUAGUAAAAGUUGGUCUUAUCAGGUUCUCAGGAGCAGUGGAUGUGCCCAAGGUAGAAGCAAGAUCUGACUUACAAAGUCUAAAUUACAACGUAUGCUUGUUGCUCUGCUCUCUGAUGUCAUGCAGCAGCUGCAGGGCCUUGUCAUCCUCCUGAGAGACCUCCACACGGGCGGCCUCCAGGCUGCGCUUCAAGCUCUGUUAGGACACACCAAACACACAUUGUGGCCAGGUCCUGCUCCAGGAUGGUCCUCUGGGUCUCGGAGGCUUUGAGCUCCACAUCCUUUUGGUGCAGAACUGACUCCAGGUCAGUCAUCUUGCGCUGAAACCUAGAGAUCUCCUGCUCCAUCUAGGAAAAAUCAGGAGCAGUUUUCCUGGAGGGCGUAACGAGAGAGAUACAGUUCAUCCCUCAUCAUUACAAUACACCCCUGGGAGACGGAGCAGCCAACACACAGGACGGCCAUCACACUGAGCAGACAGAUUGAUAGCCAGCACUGGCUGAUUCAUCCAAGCUAGCCAGGACUGACGGCUGGGCAUAGUCUUUGUGGUUAUAUGUUACCGUUGGUAAGCUACAGGAGCUCCCAUCUGCUCCCAGCCUGCUAAACAAAUGACAAUUUGCAUAUUGCCUGUAUUGUUCUGCAUUUUCCCCCUGUUGGGCUUAACGAGCAAAUUAAUUUACUGCAAGCCAUCAACUAAAUGCUGCAUAUGAAACACAAUCCGCUUCUGUGUCUGGUUUGAGCUGCUGUUGUGAUUCAGGCAGAGGCUAAAAAAUAAAACCAACAGCACCGUGGGAGAAAAGAAAGAUGUGGGUGGGGACAAAUAACAUCCUGGUUUCCAUAGAAAUAAAUUCUCUUCUCCAAUCUACAUCC